CCUUACGUCACAUCCGGGUAAUCCGAUAGUGAACAUUGAACGGCACGAGGUGGCAGCUACGAACAUUCGGGUUACGAAUCUGAAGCCAUCUAACCUACAAUAUGUGUUUCCAUUACCUCGUUUACGUCUUUAUAAGUAUUUACUAAGAUUUGUGUCAAGCGACGCAUGUCAACAUGAAUAGGACUUCCAAGGAGAAGCAAAUGGCUGCCAUGUUCAGGCCCCCUGACUGACAGUGUGGGACUGAAGAAAUGAGGACUUGCAAGGAGAAGCAAAGGGUUGCCAUGUUCAGGCCUCCUGACUGACACUGUGGGACUGAAGAAAUGAGUGUCUGCUAGAGAAAUGUGAGGCUGUUUGAGAGGCCCUGCUUGUGACUCUUCAUUGCGGGGUUUUAGGUUUGACAUGAGGUAAAGCAAAGGCCUGGUCCAGUCCUUCAGCUGACCUGUGGUACUCGUGGAACAAAGAGAAUCAGGCCUAUUCAACUCCCUGAACCAAAUUCAAAAUGGUGGCUGCAAAUUCUCAUACCCAGACCAUACAAAGGUGGUUGGUGUGUGACAUCUCCUUGGGGUAGUCUUGAUGGCUCGACCUGAGGGAAUCUACAGAGCAGGUCUCCUUGGGUGUGGACUUGAGUCACAAUUUUCAGGGACUGUUGACUCAACUUGACUCAAUACCAUCAAAGACUUGCAACUCGACUGACAUCAGUGACUCAGGACUUGACACUCAACAGGAAAAUUUCAAGCCUAUGACUUAAGACUUGACUCGACAUGCCCUGACUUGAGACUUGAACAUCUUUACUUAAAGCUGACAAUCAUCCCCUGAUCAGCUCUUCCUUGAAUGUCCAAUGUUUGUCAGUAAAAAAAAAAAAGUAAUAAAGUUGAUUUAAUACAUUGAA